GUGGGGAAUCUUCCGCAAUGGACGAAAGUCUGACGGAGCAACGCCGCGUGAGUGAUGAAGGUCUUCGGAUUGUAAAGCUCUGUUAAUCGGGACGAAAGAGCCUAGUGUGAAUAAUGCUAGGAAGUGACGGUACCGGAAUAGAAAGCCACGGCUAACUACGUGCCAGCAGCCGCGGUAAUACGUAGGUGGCAAGCGUUGUCCGGAAUUAUUGGGCGUAAAGCGCGCGCAGGCGGAUCUGCCAGUCUGUCUUAAAAGUUCGGGGCUUAACCCCGGGAUGGGAUGGAAACUACAGAUCUAGAGUAUCGGAGAGGAAAGUGGAAUUCCUAGUGUAGCGGUGAAAUGCGUAGAUAUUAGGAAGAACACCAGUGGCGAAGGCGACUUUCUGGACGAAAACUGACGCUGAGGCGCGAAAGCCAGGGGAGCGAACGGGAUUAGAUACCCCGAGUAGUCC
rnacentral:rRNA from 1 species